GGAGCUGCGGGAGGAUGGGCCGCCGCUAGGCUCGCACUCGGGACGCGCCUCGCCGAGCGCAGGGUGGGUGCCCGCGCCUGCAGCGUCCGCAGUGGGCGGCGCGGCCGGAGGUGGCUGAGGCUCCGGGCCUCGCAGCCACAGCCCCCGGCCCAGCGAGCUUUUACGCGGCGGCGCCUGGCCGAGCCGCCCGCCCGCCCGCCGUGGGUGCCUCGCGGGCAGGAGAACGGAAAACUCCCAACUUCCUGAGUUUUAAAGUUACUGUUGCUUCAGACAAUGGAUGAGCGAUCUCAAGGAAUGCAAGGGCCACCUGUUCCUCAGUUCCAGCCACAGAAGGCCUUACGACCUGAUAUGGGCUAUAACACAUUAGCCAGCUUUCGAAUAGAAAAGAAAAUUGGUCGCGGACAAUUUAGUGAAGUUUAUAGAGCAGCCUGUCUCUUGGAUGGAGUACCAGUAGCUUUGAAAAAAGUACAGAUAUUUGAUUUAAUGGAUGCCAAAGCACGUGCUGAUUGCAUCAAAGAAAUAGAUCUCCUCAAGCAACUCAACCAUCCAAAUGUAAUUAAAUAUUAUGCAUCAUUCAUUGAAGAUAAUGAACUAAACAUAGUUUUGGAAUUAGCAGAUGCUGGUGAUCUAUCCAGAAUGAUAAAGCAUUUUAAGAAGCAAAAGAGGCUAAUUCCGGAAAGAGCUGUCUGGAAGUACUUUGUUCAGCUCUGCAGCGCGUUGGAACACAUGCAUUCUUGAAGAGUCAUGCACAGAGAUAUAAAACCAGCUAAUGUGUUCAUUACAGCCACUGGGGUGGUGAAACUUGGAGAUCUUGGGCUUGGCCGGUUUUUCAGCUCCAAAACCACAGCUGCACAUUCUUUAGUGGGUACACCUUAUUACAUGUCUCCAGAGAGAAUACAUGAAAAUGGAUACAACUUCAAAUCUGACAUCUGGUCUCUUGGCUGUCUGCUGUAUGAGAUGGCUGCAUUACAGAGUCCUUUCUAUGGUGACAAAAUGAAUUUAUACUCGCUGUGUAAGAAGAUAGAACAGUGUGACUACCCACCUCUUCCUUCAGAUCACUAUUCAGAGGAACUACGACAGUUAGUGAAUAUGUGCAUCAACCCAGAUCCCGAGAAGCGACCAGACAUCACCUACGUUUAUGAUGUGGCUAAGAGAAUGCACGCGUGCACCGCG